rnacentral:rRNA from 1 species
AAUCAACGCUGGCGGCGCGCUUAACACAUGCAAGUCGAACGAGAAAGUGGAGCAAUCCAUGAGUAAAGUGGCGUACGGGUGAGUAACACGUGGAUAAUCUGCCCUAGAGUGGGGAAUAACGAUGGGAAACCGUCGCUAAUACCGCAUAAUCCCGAGAGGGGAAAGCAGCAAUGCGCUCAAGGAGGAGUCCGCGGCCGAUUAGCUUGUUGGUAGGGUAAUGGCCUACCAAGGCUGCGAUCGGUAGCCGGCCUGAGAGGGCACACGGCCACACUGGCACUGAAGCACGGUCCAGACUCCUACGGGAGGCAGCAGUGGGGAAUUUUGCGCAAUGGGGGAAACCCUGACGCAGCAACGCCGCGUGGAGGAUGAAGUCCCUUGGGACGUAAACUCCUUUCGACCGGGAAGAUUAUGACGGUACCGGUGGAAGAAGCCCCGGCUAACUUCGUGCCAGCCGCCGCGGU